rnacentral:rRNA from 1 species
UACGUAGGUGGCGAGCGUUGUCCGGAUUUAUUGGGCGUAAAGCGAGCGCAGGCGGUUCCUUAAGUCUGAUGUGAAAGCCCACGGCUCAACCGUGGAAGGUCAUUGGAAACUGAGGAACUUGAGUAUAGAAGAGAAGAGUGGAAUUCCAAGUGUAGCGGUAAAAUGCGUAGAUAUCAGGAGGAACACCAGUGGCGAAGGCGGCUAUCUGGACAGUAACUGACGCUGAGGCGCGAAAGCGUGGGUAGCAAACAGGAUUAGAUACCCCGGUA